UUCCUCCUUAAAUAUAUACACGGUAAAACUAAUGUCCUACAUGCCUAGUUCUGUGUACACUUAACCUACACAAGGCCUACAUUGACUAUCGACUGUGUGUAGAUAAAACAUGAUUUAAACUACAUGUAAACAUUGAGUUUUAUCAAUGGGAACGCAAUUGUGUUUAGUUUACGUGUGAGUUGCACUAACACAACACCGAAUUUAGGUCAAUGUGAACACGGCCUAAGAUUUGUUCACAUUUGUAAACUCUAUGUCAUUUAAAUGUUCAUUUCGUAGAAUCGAAUGAAACAUUUUCGGACAACUUUUCUAGCAGUAAGGGAACGACCAUUUGACUCUAAAUAGGGGGAAUGGAAAUAUUCCGAACCCCAAUUGGAUAAAGAAAACAAUUCUGGUUCUACAGAUGAUAAAAAAUAUUCUGAAUCAAGAGUUUCCCCAUACAUUAAAGUGUUAAAUGUUGAAGAAAAAAAAAACUGAUUACCAGCAUCGAGAAAAAAAAACCGGAAUAAAACGUUUGCGCGGCAAAAUUCUGACUAAGUUAAGUGGUUGCUUCUUUAUGAAAGCCAUUUUGAUGAUUUGCAGUAGUUUAAAGAUACUAAAGAUGUCUCGAUUAAGCAUUAGAAAACGUAGGCUGUAACAGCGUGCUUACAGACGAAGAAGAAGGAUUGAUAUAUUAGGGAUCACUAUAUUUCUGUCUUUUCUGUUUGUUCAAAUGGUAUUUCUUCUCCAAGAAGUAUUUGGCAAAGGGAGUGGGUAAUGUUUUUUUUUUCUUUUUAAGUGUAAUUUCACGGAUCCGAGAUACUAGACAAACAAUACAUUUACCUCACACUUUUUAAGUAAUUUUAUGAGUGAAUCGUUGUUUGAGUAAAGACCAGUGGCAAAUAUUUCUGUGUAAGUUAAGUCAAUUCGGAAAGACUUUAAUUUUCAAAUGAAUUA
rnacentral:lncRNA from 1 species